rnacentral:sRNA from 1 species
AACACCCACAAACAACGUCACGACGCAACGUGGUUAAACAGUACGUUUAUUAAAGUAACUGGGUGAACGACACCGGAGCGGACUGCAAAUCGCAACGCUACUUUCUCGAGUGCAGAUACUCUUCGAGACGGCUAAACAACGUGUCCAACUCGCUGAGACCUUUCCGCGUGCCGUUAUCCGAUUUCCUUUCCGCCUCCUGAGACAGCCGACUAAUCACGGACUUAUCUCCGCAACCUAACAGAGGCUGGGAGCCCGACAAAAGUAAAACAGCGUGCUAUGAACACGUUGUUACCUCUGCGCGGACAGCGCCGCCACAGAGACACUUACGCAUUGCCGCAUGUCUUUGUAGAUGGAUUCUAGCGUCGAGCGCAUACUAUGCAAUUCCGUCUUAAGUCCGGGAUAGACGUGGUCGCCUGCGGGGAACACGAUCUCCAGAUACCGCCUCAACAACCAGUCCAUAACGCUGCAUCCCCAACAGCCUUUGACCACCGUACCGUCGAGCCACACGGAGUAGUCGUCCUCGCGUUGCUACAAGAGGAAAACUACGUCACCCGACACGCGGAAAAGAAAGACCGUCGCAAUAAACCGUACCUACGUGACCUACCAACGUAGGUUUUACUCAAUGAAAGGUGACGCGGAGAUCUUGCAAUCUGGUUGCGUAAUCCUCUGGACGACACUGCGGCUUUGUAUUCUUUAUCGUCGUCGUCGUCGCCGGCUUCGCCUCCUCGGAAGCGCCUAGAAAAAAGACGAUCAGGACCAGAGAGGAAGAGACCAUCACCGACAGCAUCGCCGCAGCAUGCCGCCCCAGUCCGCCACCCAACUGCGCGUCCCAGAUACCACUCGUAGACUGUCAGCCUCGCGAGGAGACACCGCGGACCGGGGAAACGGAUAAGUUUACGAACAGAAAUCUCAAGAGAAAUACGCUGACCCGGCAAGUACCGUCACGGAGACACGGUGGUUUUUAUUGAAUUUCCAGUGUAUCGAGCCACCGUGAUGCAGGUACGGUGGUUUUAUGUGAAGUGCCGCUACCUAUAGGCGAUGUGUUCCCUGACGGUGUGUGUUUUUUUGGGGAUAGACAACGUGGUUCUUGUACGUGGUUUUUACCCUGCUCAAUAAAGUCACGUUUUCCUUACACGGUGUUGUGUC